GGUCACAUUAUGAUUUGGAAACAAACAAUACUAAAAUCCCAGUGGCUUAAUACACAACAGUUUAUUUAUUUGUUCUCUCAAGGUCUGCUGAGGGUACAGGCAACUUUCCAGGGCAGCUGUCUUCCAUGUGGGAGCUCAGAACCUCAGGCUAAUUCAAUCAUGUGGCAUGUCCAUAACAAGUUCUUCUGGGAUUGCUGCGGCAGUGAAGAAAAUCUGCACGGUCCUAUAGGAAGAUAUUUUUAUGGGUCAAAACUUGCCUUCCUCAUGGUGUGUCCAUGUGCUUCUUUGGUGAUUGUUUUGCUGCAUUUCUUCAAGUCUCUGGUCUUUUUUUUGAGUUCUUCCUUUAGAGCCUCUCAGAAGACAAUUUCUGGGGAUCCAGAAAUUCUUAAUGGUUCAGGUAUAGGAUUCCUUUAUGAUUAAUGCAGUCUUUGGAGACCAGAGGCUCCCCUGCUGCCAUUGUUGUUGCAAGGAAAUUCCAGAUUAGUGAUAGUCUCUACUUUAUUUCUAAAUAAGCCCCCAUAGCUAACUUCAGUUAUCUUCAUCAUUAAUAUUACCAAUGUACCAUAAUGUAGACUUGUACUGAGUGCUGAAG
rnacentral:lncRNA from 1 species